rnacentral:rRNA from 1 species
CUCAGAUUGAACGCUGGCGGAAUGCUUUACACAUGCAAGUCGAACGGUAGAGGGGGCAACCCUUGAGAGUGGCGAACGGGUGAGUAAUAUAUCGGAACGUGCCCAGUCGUGGGGGAUAACAUAGCGAAAGUUACGCUAAUACCGCAUACGUCCUACGGGAGAAAGCGGGGGAUCUUCGGACCUCGCGCCAUUAGAUGAGCCUAGGUCGGAUUAGCUAGUUGGUGAGGUAAUGGCUCACCAAGGCGACGAUCCGUAACUGGUCUGAGAGGAUGAUCAGUCACACUGGAACUGAGACACGGUCCAGACUCCUACGGGAGGCAGCAGUGGGGAAUAUUGGACAAUGGGCGAAAGCCUGAUCCAGCCAUGCCGCGUGUGUGAAGAAGGUCUUCGGAUUGUAAAGCACUUUAAGUUGGGAGGAAGGGUAGUAACCUAAUACGUUGCUACUUUGACGUUACCGACAGAAUAAGCACCGGCUAACUUCGUG